GAUGAAGAACGUAGCGAAAUGCGAUAAGUAAUGUGAAUUGCAGAAUUCAGUGAAUCAUCGAAUCUUUGAACGCACAUUGCGCCCGCCAGUAUUCAGGCGGGCAUGCCUGUUCGAGCGUCAUUUCAACCAUCAAGCCCCCGGCUUGUGUUGGGGACCUGCGGCUGCCGCAGGCCCUGAAAAGCAGUGGCGGGCUCGCUGUCACACCGAGCGUAGUAGCAUACAUCUCGCUCUGGGCGUGCUGCGGGUUCCGGCCGUUAAACCACCUUCAUAACCCAAGGUUGACCUCGGAUCAGGUAGGAAGACCCGCUGAACUUAAGCAUAUCAAUAAGCGGAGGA
rnacentral:misc_RNA from 1 species